UAGUAGAGACGGGGUUUCACCUUGUUAGCCAGGAUGGUCUCGAUCUCCUGACCUCGUGAUCUGCCUGCCUUGGCCUCCCAAAGUGCUGGGAUUACAGGCAUCAGCCACCACACUUGGCUGGGUUUACUUCUGAGGUUUGGGUAAGGAACCUAAAACCUCUGGUAUGUCCAGAAAAACGUGAUGGAUUUAUACCAAAGGAUAUACCUAUCGAAUGUUUAAUAAAACUAAUCUUGGAAUUCUGUAUGUGCAAAAAUUAGUAUAGAAACUGUGCUAAGCAGGUGUCUGUUUACUCAAGGCUGGGUAUGCUUCUACAAUGUGGCUUCUAGCACAGCCUUUCUCAUCUGUCUAUUAAUGGAAGUUUCCUUCCAGUCAUGGGAGAGUGGCUCUCAUGCCCAGCUCUGACCCUCCUCUCUUCCCCUCCCCUGUAUUCUGAAAAGCUCCUGCUCGGCAUGAAGUCGGAGGGAGAAAGGAAGUUCCCAGAGAAUGGGACUUCUUACAUGCAGGACUCAUAAUAUAAAUGUGUGUUUCCAUUAGGUGCCUUGAACCCAGAUCGAGAGACGACGGCUAUGUGGCUCAAGCUAGUGGAUUUCCAAUUCCCCUCUUGCACAACAUGCAGUCCAUAGGAUCAGCUAUGAGCCAGCAUUGAUGGAACAGGGAAAGUGCCUGCUACUUCAGCAGGUGGGAUCAUCCUGGCAAUGCACGAAUGUGCCAUCUCGUUCACAGGGAAGCUCCACUCUCCCACUAGACAUGCCUGUGGAGAUUAUUCCAAGAAGAUUAAAGGUCAUGCUAGCCCAUUUGGAUCUUAUAAAUCGCAAGUGUCCUUGAACUCAGGUAAAUUCCUGCAAAAUUGGAAUGUUUCUCGAAUUGCUUUGAGAAAAUUUUAUAACCAAAGGA